rnacentral:rRNA from 1 species
ACGCGAGGAACCUUACCAGGUCUUGACAUCCUUCGCUACUUCUAGAGAUAGAAGGUUCCCCUUCGGGGGUCGAAGUGACAGGUGGUGCAUGGUUGUCGUCAGCUCGUGUCGUGAGAUGUUGGGUUAAGUCCCGCAACGAGCGCAACCCUUGAUCUUAGUUGCCAGCAUUAAGUUGGGCACUCUAAGGUGACUGCCGGUGACAAACCGGAGGAGGGUGGGGAUGACGUCAAAUCAUCAUGCCCCUUAUGACCUGGGCUACACACGUGCUACAAUGGACGGUACAAACGGUUGCCAACCCGCGAGGGGGAGCUAAUCCGAUAAAACCGUUCUCAGUUCGGAUUGUAGGCUGCAACUCGCCUACAUGAAGCCGGAAUCGCUAGUAAUCGCGGAUCAGCAUGCCGCGGUGAAUACGUUCCCGGGCCUUGCACUCACCGCCCGU